rnacentral:rRNA from 4 species
GGGUUGUGAGGUUAAGCGACUAAGCGUACACGGUGGAUGCCCUGGCAGUCAGAGGCGAUGAAGGACGUGCUAAUCUGCGAUAAGCGCCGGUAAGGUGAUAUGAACCGUUAUAACCGGCGAUUUCCGAAUGGGGAAACCCAGUGUGACUCGUCACACUAUCAUUAACUGAAUCCAUAGGUUAAUGAGGCGAACCGGGGGAACUGAAACAUCUAAGUACCCCGAGGAAAAGAAAUCAACCGAGAUUCCCCCAGUAGCGGCGAGCGAACGGGGAGGAGCCCAGAGCCUGAAUCAGCAUGUGUGUUAGUGGAAGCGUCUGGAAAGGCGCGCGAUACAGGGUGACAGCCCCGUACACAAAAGCGCAUGUGCUGUGAGCUCGAUGAGUAGGGCGGGACACGUGGUAUCCUGUCUGAAUAUGGGGGGACCAUCCUCCAAGGCUAAAUACUCCUGACUGACCGAUAGUGAACCAGUACCGUGAGGGAAAGGCGAAAAGAACCCCGGCGAGGGGAGUGAAAAAGAACCUGAAACCGUGUACGUACAAGCAGUGGGAGCACAGGUUUACCUGUGUGACUGCGUACCUUUUGUAUAAUGGGUCAGCGACUUAUAUUCUGUAGCAAGGUUAACCG